ensembl:lncRNA
CAGGUGAGAACAUGCAGAUGCAGCCUGCUUGGGUGGGGGUGGGCAGUACAGCCUUGCAGUUGAGAUCGAGGAAAUGCUUGGUUGCAGCUCACUAAUGUUACUCUGUUUUUCAGUGAUACCUUUUCGAGUCCUGAAGAAGUCUACCGCAAGCAGCGAGCAGAUAGUAUAGUACUCUUGGCCACUUUGGGCUAGAGAAUCACUUUGGUUUUUCCAGCCUCUACUGCCUUCAUUUCUGACCUGUGAUUUCACCAGAUGGCGAACAACAUAACUGUAUUUGUGGGGAAUACAAAGAUAUGGAAGAGCUGCAUCUCAAAUAUCCAACUGUGUUCCUACUCAGCAAUGCCAGGGGUUAGAGGAUGUUCUUGCAGCUUCGCAGAUGGCCAGAGGCAGGCUGGAAUAUGUAUGUGUGUAGUGCCCCAGUAUCCAUCAGCUUCUGAAAUACAAGUGAAAGCAGUAUUUCUCUUGCUGUUUUACAUCCCAGACUUGGUACGAGCAAGCACAGAUGUGUCUUUUGUGCAGGAGAGGGAAGGAAGAGAGAGCCAAAUGAAAAAUCCUGAAUGACAACAUCUCCAAGUAUCACAGCAGUACCUUCUAAAGCUGGAAGAUAAAGCUGAUGAGGUGGUUACCAUGGCUACAGAAGCGGCAUAUUUGAAUGAAAAUUGAUUUUAAGCUUUUAAAUGCUAAUUGCAUCUGUGAACAGGUGACAUUUGAAAUAUCUUUUUCUCCCUCCUCCCUCCCCCCAUAUGUUGCAGAGUAUAAUGAGUGAAAGAAGAGGGUGACAAAGGUGACAACACACUGUUAAAUUAGAACACUGAUACAGUCUUCAACACUAAAGUAUGUCACACCAUUUGCUUGUGUAGUAGUACAAGUAAUAAGUGAACACAUAUAUAGAUCACAGUGUCUGAGGAGCAGAAACUGUCUAGAACCCAAUUAAUAUAUUUUUCAUGGUAUUGUGAAAAAUUAAACAGCUUUAUUUAAAUUAAUCACCAGAACAAUUGUUUCUGGUAGCUCAUAAUAAAGAGGCUAUUAAAACUUACCAUUCAGAAACUGCUAUAAAUUCUCAGUGAUGAGGAAGCUUUGCAAAUGCCUGGAAUUAGAAGCAUUUCUUAUUUCACUCUGUACACUGGGAAAUAAAGUUGAACUUCUACACAGUAGUAGACUCAGACUAGGGAACCAAGAUGCUGUGUAGACUGGUGUUACUGUGCAACUGCUGCUAAUUGCUGUCACACCACUGUCUGACCACACUCAGGCUGUAGUUGCAGAAGACAUAGAAGGUGUAAUUUACCUCACUGUAAGCAUAGUUUUAAUAUGAUCUGAAAGCUCUUUAACUUGCAGUGGGUUACAUUCCACUUGUUAGCGCUUGCUUUUCGAAACACUCUUGAUAUGAUUACUGUUUAAGACAUGAUCAGUUGUAAUGCAGA